ACACAUUGCAUUAAUGAAAGUCAUAACAUUGGAGCGUCCAGAUUAGAUCAGAGCCCAUGGAUCCAAGGGCAAAGAACUCAGCCACGUGGGGAUGGUGGUGGAAACCACCGUCUUCUCCGGUGAGCUUCACAGUUCCGGCCAAACUUGCAGGUUUUCAAACCUUCAUCGUUUUGCACGAUCCUUAUAUCAUUGGAAAGCUGG
rnacentral:lncRNA from 1 species